GGGGUGCGAGUAGAGCGGCAAACGGGUGAGUAACACGUAAGUAACCUACCUCUAAAUCUGGAAUAACUCUGCCAACGCGGAGCUAAUACCGGAUGUGGUCACGAUGCUGCAUGGUAUUGUGACUAAAGGUGACCUCUCCUUGGAAGUUACCGUUUAGAGAUGGGCUUGCGGACCAUUAGCUAGUUGGUGAGGUAACGGCUCACCAAGGCUACGAUGGAUAGCCGGCCUAAGAGGGUGAUCGGCCACAUUGGGACUGAGAUACGGCCCAGACUCCUACGGGAGGCAGCAGUAGGGAAUUUUGCGCAAUGGACGAAAGUCUGACGCAGCAACGCCGCGUGAGGGAUGACGGCCUUCGGGUUGUAAACCUCUGUUGAGUGGGAAGAAAAGCUUUGUGGUUAAUAUCCACAGAGUCUGACGGUACCACUCGAGGAAGCUCCGGCUAACUACGUGCCAGCAGCCGCGGUAAUACGUAGGGGGCUAGCGUUGUUCGGAAUCACUGGGCGUAAAGGGAGUGUAGGCGGACCGGCAAGUUAGGAGUUAAAUGUACGGGCUCAACCCGUGAUCUGCUUUUAAUACUGUCGGUCUUGAGUAUGGGAGAGGGAGAUGGAAUUCCAGGUGUAGCGGUGGAAUGCGUAGAUAUCUGGAAGAACACCAGUUGCGAAGGCGGUCUCCUGGACCAAUACUGACGCUGAUGCUCGAAAGCUGGGGGAGCGAACAGGAUUAGAUACCCUGGUAGUCCCAGCCGUAAACGAUGGACACUAGUUGCCGGAGGAGUCAAUCCCUUCGGUGACGAAGCUAACGCAUUAAGUGUCCCGCCUGGGGAGUACGCUCGCAAGGGUGAAACUCAAAGGAAUUGACGGGGGCCCGCACAAGCGGUGGAGCAUGUGCUUUAAUUCGAUGCAACGCGAAGAACCUUACCUGGGUUUGACAUGGGGGUGAAAGUUUCCAGAGAUGGAAGCCUUUCCUUCGGGAACACCCCACACAGGUGCUGCAUGGUUGUCGUCAGCUCGUGUCGUGAGAUGUUGGGUUAAGUCCCGCAACGAGCGCAACCCCUGCCCUUAGUUGCCAUCAGGUAAAGCUGGGAACUCUAAGGGGACAGCUUGGUAUAACCAGGAGGAAGGUGGGGAUGACGUCAA
rnacentral:rRNA from 1 species